rnacentral:rRNA from 1 species
UACGUAGGUGGCAAGCGUUAUCCGGAUUUACUGGGUGUAAAGGGCGUGUAGGCGGGACUGCAAGUCAGAUGUGAAACCCAUGGGCUCAACCCAUGGCCUGCAUUUGAAACUGUAGUUCUUGAGUGAUGGAGAGGCAGGCGGAAUUCCGUGUGUAGCGGUGAAAUGCAUAGAUAUCACGCAGAACUCCGAUUGCGAAGGCAGCUUACUAAGCCAUAACUGACACUGAAGCACGAAAGCGUGGGGAUCAAACAGG